CGGCAACAGCUCAAAUUUGAAAUCUGGCUCUUUUAGAGUCCGAGUUGUAAUUUGCAGAGGAUGCUCCGGCGUCGGGCCCGUACUAAGUUCCUUGGAACAGGACGUCCUAGAGGGUGAGAACCCCGUCUUCGUUCGGGACGCCUUCGCCAUGUGGAGCACCUUCGAC
rnacentral:rRNA from 1 species